CCUACGGGUGGCAGCAGUGAGGAAUAUUGGUCAAUGGUCGGGAGACUGAACCAGCCAAGCCGCGUGAGGGAUGAAGGUACAGAGUAUCGUAAACCUCUUUUGUCAGGGAACAAAGGCGGGGACGUGUCCCGGCCCGGAGAGUACCCGGAGAAAAAGCAUCGGCUAACUCCGUGCCAGCAGCCGCGGUAAUACGGAGGAUGCGAGCGUUAUCCGGAUUUAUUGGGUUUAAAGGGUGCGUAGGCGGGCUUUUAAGUCAGCGGUAAAAAUUCGGGGCUCAACCCCGUCCGGCCGUUGAAACUGGGGGCCUUGAGUGGGCGAGAAGAAGGCGGAAUGCGUGGUGUAGCGGUGAAAUGCAUAGAUAUCACGCAGAACCCCGAUUGCGAAGGCAGCCUUCCGGCGCCCUACUGACGCUGAGGCACGAAAGUGCGGGGAUCGAACAGGAUUAGAUAUCCGAGUAGUC
rnacentral:rRNA from 1 species